CGAAGAACCUUACCAGGUCUUGACAUCCCUGACAACCCGAGAGACUCGGGCGUUCCCCUUCGGGGGACAGGGUGGACAGGUGGUGCAUGGUUGUCGUCAGCUCGUGUCGUGAGAUGUUGGGUUAAGUCCCGCAACGAGCGCAACCCUCGACCUUAGUUGCCAGCAUUCAGUUGGGCACUCUAAGGUGACUGCGGCUAAAAGUCGGAGGAAGUGGGAUGACGUCAAAUCAUCAUGCCCCUUAUGACCUGGGCUACACACGUGCUACAAUGGGCGGUACAAAGGGUCGCGAACCCGCGAGGGGGAGCCAAUCCCAAAAAGCCGCUCUCAGUUCGGAUUGCAGGCUGCAACUCGCCUGCAUGAAGCCGGAAUCGCUAGUAAUCGCGGAUCAGCAUGCCGCGGUGAAUACGUUCCCGGGCCUU
rnacentral:rRNA from 1 species